UCUCAAUCUACUGUGGAUUCAUUUAUUUUCGUGGGUACCAAUUUUCGUGGAUUGAGGAAAACUUACAUGUUCGUGGAUAUUUGAUUUCGUGGUUUUGCCGAAGUCUGCAUACAAGCCAUGAGAAAAUUUGUCAUUCGUGAACAUUUAAUUUCGUGGUUCAACUGUUCCCACGAAAUCCACGAAAAUUGGUAUCCAACGAAUAAUAAUGAAUCCACAGUAUUACUAUUUUCUAAAUAUAACACAAUACAAUAUUUUACCCAUGGGGUAACACGAAACUUUCUCUAUUUAUCCUAUAAAAGGAUCAUGUACCCUUUUUAUAGUUGAUGAUUGUGCUGAUGUUU
rnacentral:lncRNA from 1 species